AUUGAACGCUGGCGGCAGGCUUAACACAUGCAAGUCGAGCGGAGAUGAGGUGCUUGCACCUUAUCUUAGCGGCGGACGGGUGAGUAAUGCUUAGGAAUCUGCCUAUUAGUGGGGGACAACAUUCCGAAAGGAAUGCUAAUACCGCAUACGCCCCACGGGGGAAAGCAGGGGAUCUUCGGACCUUGCGCUAAUAGAUGAGCCUAAGUCGGAUUAGCUAGUUGGUGGGGUAAAGGCCUACCAAGGCGACGAUCUGGAGCGGGUCUGAGAGGAUGGUCCGCCACACUGGGACUGAGACACGGCCCAGACUCCUACGGGAGGCAGCAGUGGGGAAUAUUGGACAAUGGGCGGAAGCCUGAUCCAGCCAUGCCGCGUGUGUGAAGAAGGCCUUUUGGUUGUAAAGCACUUUAAGCGAGGAGGAGGCUACCUGGAUUAAUACUCUAGGAUAGUGGACGUUACUCGCAGAAUAAGCACCGGCUAACUCUGUGCCAGCCGCCGCAGUAAAAC
rnacentral:rRNA from 1 species